UUGUCUGUCCAUAUCCCGCCAGAUGCUGCCUGACCCCAAUAUCUGUCCUUCAAGUUCAAAUGUAUUGGUCACGUGCACCAUAAGGUGGAGUAAAAUGUCAUUUACCAUGCAGCGUUACAAUUGAAAAAGGACACAAUACACAACAUAAUUCAACACAGACAUCCACCACGGCAUUCUUCACUGUGGCGGAAGGUAAUACAGUUCAGAUAGUCCUCCUCCUCCACCUCCCUUGUUCACCC